GUCUAGGCCAUGCUACCCUGAACAAGACCGAUCCUGUUUGAUCUUGGAAGUUAAGCAGGGUCUGGUCUGGUUAGUACUUAGAUGGGAGACCACUUAGGAAGACCAGGUGCUGUAGGUG
rnacentral:rRNA from 1 species